rnacentral:rRNA from 1 species
GACGAACGCUGGCGGCGUGCUUAACACAUGCAAGUCGAACGGGAAGGCCCUGCUUUUGUGGGGGGCUCGAGUGGCGAACGGGUGAGUAACACGUGAGUAACCUGCCCUUGACUUUGGGAGAACUUCAGGAAACUGGGGCUAAUAGCGGAUAGGAGCUCCUGCGGCAUGGUGGGGGUUGGAGAGUUUCGGCGGUUGGGGAUGGACACGCGGCUUAUCAGCUUGUUGGUGGGGUAGUGGCUUACCAAGGCUUUGACGGGUAGCCGGCCUGAGAGGGUGACCGGCCACAUUGGGACUGAGAUACGGACGAGACUCCUACGGGAGGCAGCAGUGGGGAAUAAUGCACAAUGGGCGGAAGCAUGAUGCAGCAACGACGCGUGCGGGAUGACGGCAUUCGGGUUGUAAACCGCUUUCGCCUGUGACGAAGCGUGAGUGACGGUAAUGGGUAAAGAAGCAACGGCUAACUACGUG